UGGGGAAUAUUGGACAAUGGGCGAAAGCCUGAUCCAGCCAUGCCGCGUGUGUGAAGAAGGUCUUCGGAUUGUAAAGCACUUUAAGUUGGGAGGAAGGGCAUUAACCUAAUACGUUAGUGUUUUGACGUUACCGACAGAAUAAGCACCGGCUAACUCUGUGCCAGCAGCCGCGGUAAUACAGAGGGUGCAAGCGUUAAUCGGAAUUACUGGGCGUAAAGCGCGCGGAGGUGGUUUGUUAAGUUGGAUGUGAAAGCCCCGGGCUCAACCUGGGAACUGCAUCCAAAACUGGCAAGCUAGAGUACGGUAGAGGGUGGUGGAAUUUCCUGUGUAGCGGUGAAAUGCGUAGAUAUAGGAAGGAACACCAGUGGCGAAGGCGACCACCUGGACUGAUACUGACACUGAGGUGCGAAAGCGUGGGGAGCAAACA
rnacentral:rRNA from 1 species